rnacentral:rRNA from 1 species
GCAAGUCGAACGGUAACGCAAGGAGCUUGCUCCUUGGCGACGAGUGGCGGACGGGUGAGUAAUGCUUAGGAAUCUGCCCAGUAGUGGGGGACAACUCGGGGAAACUCGAGCUAAUACCACAUACUCCCUAUGGGGCAAAGUUGUGGAUCUUCGGACUUCACGCUAUUGGAUGAGCCUAAGUCGUAUUAGCUUGUUGGUGAGGUAAAGGCUCACCAAGGCUACGAUCCGUAGCUGGUCUGAGAGGACGAUC